rnacentral:rRNA from 1 species
GUGUCAGCAGCCGCGGUAAUACGUAGGCAGCGAGCGUUGUUCGGAGUUACUGGGCGUAAAGAGUGCGUAGGCGGUGCUCUAAGUUUGGUGUGAAAUCUCCCGGCUCAACUGGGAGGGUGCGCCGAAAACUGGAGUGCUCGAGUGUGGGAGAGGUAAGCGGAAUUCCUGGUGUAGCGGUGAAAUGCGUAGAUAUCAGGAGGAACACCUGCGGUGUAGACGGCUUACUGGACCAUGACUGACGCUGAGGCACGAAAGCGUGGGGAGCAAACAGGAUUAGAUACCCUGGUAGUCCACGCCCUAAACGAUGCAUACUUGGUGUGAGCGAUUCAUUUCGUUCGUGCCGGAGCUAACGCGUUAAGUAUGCCGCCUGGGGAGUACGGUCGCAAGGCUGAA